GUUUGAUCCUGACUUAGGACGAACGCUGGCGGCGUGCUUAACACAUGCAAGUCGAACGAGGUUAUGUUCGGAAGGCUUCGGCUGGAAGAGGCAUAACCGAGUGGCGGACGGGUGAGUAACGCGUGAGCAACCUGUCUUCUACAGGGGGGAUAACGGUCCGAAAGGAUUGCUAAUACCGCAUAAGACCACGGUACCGCAUGGUAUUGAGGUCAAAGGAGAGAUCCGGUAGAAGGUGGGCUCGCGUCCCAUUAGAUAGUUGGUGAGGUAACGGCCCACCAAGUCGACGAUGGGUAGCCGACCUGAGAGGGUGAUCGGCCACAUUGGAACUGAGAUACGGUCCAGACUCCUACGGGAGGCAGCAGUGGGGAAUAUUGGGCAAUGGGCGAAAAAGCCUGACCCAGCAACGCCGCGUGAGGGAAGAAGGUCUUCGGGUUGUAAACCUCUGUCCUAUGUGAAAAGUAAGGAUGGUAGCAUAGGAGGAAGCACCGGCUAACUACGUGCCAGCCGCCGC
rnacentral:rRNA from 1 species